rnacentral:rRNA from 1 species
GUGGAGCAUGUGGUUUAAUUCGAUGAUACGCGAAGAACCUUACCUGGGCUUGAACUGUACUUGAUCGGUGUAGAGAUACACCCUCCUUCGGGCAGGUGCAGAGGUGCUGCAUGGUUGUCGUCAGCUCGUGUCGUGAGAUGUUGGGUUAAGUCCCGCAACGAGCGCAACCCUUACCCCUUGUUGCCAUCAGGUAAUGCUGAGCACUCUAGGGGAACUGUCGGUGAUAAACCGGAGGAAGGUGGGGAUGACGUCAAAUCAUCACGGCCCUUAUGUCCAGGGCUACACACGUGCUACAAUGGCCGGUACAAUGAGUUGCGAGACCGCGAGGUGGAGCUAAUCUCAAAAAACCGGUCUCAGUUCGGAUUGCAGUCUGCAACUCGACUGCAUGAAGCUGGAAUCGCUAGUAAUCGCGGAUCAGCACGCCGCGGUGAUACGUUCCCGGGCCUUGUACACACCGCCCGUCACACCACCCGAGUUGGCAGCACCCGAAGUGGCUGAUCUAACUUCGUGAGGAAGGUUACUAAGGUG